GUAUGGUUUCCUAGCCACUACAUACCUGUAAUGGCCGAGGUAUGGUUUCCUAGCCCCUACAUACCUGUAAUAGGCAGAGGUAUGGUUUCCUAGCCACUACCUACCUGUAAAGGCAGGUAUGUGUUCUUAGCCACUAGUCCCGUAUAGGUAUGGUGUGUCUUCCUGGGACAGACAGGAUACUGAACCAUAGCCUGAGAAGAUGGAGGGUUUGUCGACAGGUUAGAUUGACUGGGCUGACCAUAGCCGCACACUAGUACCAUAGCCAGAGGGUCCUGGCGGGUGUGGGUAGAUGGUAGAGGCAGCAUAGCCCCAGAACAGCCCGUUACACCUGGGUAACCAUGCUGUACCAGCCCUGGCUAGAGUACGAGCCUUAGCUGGGUAUCCAUGAGCUGGGUUGCUGAAGGGAAGUAUAGGAGAUCAGGGUUAAUGGAUGUGAUUCGGAAGAUGUCGUCAUUCACAGACAGGUUGUUGUCUGUCUGAUGUUCUGUUUGUUGUUGUGGCCACUAGAGACAGAAAGAGAUUCAUUUACCACAGUAGCUAGUUGUGUCCGUGGUUUAGCAAACAUAGGAAGUGAUUUACGGGAACGGAAACAUUCUGGUCAUUCUAUAAUCAUUCAUGUCAAUUCACCUGGUCAGGUAAACUCCCGGGCCUGGCUGGUUAUUUCACCUGAUCAGGUAAACUCCUGGGCCUGGCUGGUUAUUUAACCUGAUCAGGAAGACUCCCGGGCCUGGCUGGUUAUUUCCCUGAUCAGGUAAACUCCUGGGCCUGGCUGGUUAUUUAACCUGAAUCAGGAAACUCCCGGGCCUGGCCUAGUUAUUUCACCUGAUCAGGUACAUCCUGGGCCUGGCUGG
rnacentral:lncRNA from 1 species